UUACUUACCUGGCAGGGGAGACACCACGAUCAAGAAGCCGCUGGUUCACCCAGGGCGAGGCUCAGCCAUUGCAAUCCAGCCGUCUGACCGCUGCGAAUUUCCCGAACGCGUGGAAUCUCGACUGCAUCAUUUCUAGCAGUGGUGGGACCACAUUCGGGAUAUCCCCUG